rnacentral:rRNA from 1 species
AUUGAACGCUGGCGGAAUGCUUUACACAUGCAAGUCGAACGGCAGCACGGACUUCGGUCUGGUGGCGAGUGGCGAACGGGUGAGUAACAUAUCGGAACGUAUCCAAUAAUGGGGGAUAACGAGUCGAAAGAUUCGCUAAUACCGCAUACGCCCUACGAGGGAAAGCUGGGGACCUUCGGGCCUGGCGUUAAUGGAGCGGCCGAUAUCUGAUUAGCUAGUUGGUGAGGUAAAGGCUCACCAAGGCGACGAUCAGUAGCUGGUCUGAGAGGACGACCAGCCACACUGGAACCGAGACACGGUCCAGACUCCGACGGGAGGCAGCAGUGGGGAAUUUUGGACAAUGGGCGCAAGCCUGAUCCAGCCAUUCCGCGUGAGUGAAGAAGGCCUUCGGGUUGUAAAGCUCUUUCGCAAGGGAAGAAAACUUAGCCACUAACAUUGGUUGAGGUUGACGGUACCUUGAUAAGAAGCACCGGCUAACUACGUGCCAGCCGCCGCAGUAA